rnacentral:rRNA from 1 species
UACAGAGGGUGCAAGCGUUAAUCGGAAUUACUGGGCGUAAAGCGUGCGUAGGUGGUUUGUUAAGUCUGAUGUGAAAGCCCUGGGCUCAACCUGGGAAUUGCAUUGGAUACUGGCAGGCUAGAGUGCGGUAGAGGAUGGCGGAAUUCCCGGUGUAGCAGUGAAAUGCGUAGAGAUCGGGAGGAACAUCUGUGGCGAAGGCGGCCAUCUGGACCAGCACUGACACUGAGGCACGAAAGCGUGGGGAGCAAACAGG